CCGCGACGCCCCCCCGCUGUCGCCUGGCCCGCGACGCACCGAGGCCUGAGGACCCGAAAGCCGGGCGCGGGGAGAUGACCGGUGGCUCGUGACGGUCCCACGGGCAAAAUCUUCCAUCGCCCGGGGCUGAGACUUGUCAAACUGCCCUCUACGGUCACCCGGAAAGUAGGAGGCUUUUUCUGCAGAGGGGAAAAAAAUCAAAAAGAGCCGUUCCAUCCCCCCUCCAAGGACUGGGUUUGAAUUGCUUUUCAUCUGCAGUGGCUGUGAUUCAGCGUCCCUCUUAGCAGCAGGCAAUGACAGAGGCAGGAGAGGGGAAAAAAAAAAAGAAAGAAAGAAAAAACACAGCAAAUGAAUCAAACGGACCAGGUAGCAGGCAAGAGUGUGGUUAUCGUUGGACCAGGAUUCAGGAUCUGACUGAGUAGCUGACUCUUAAUCCAGUUUGUGUUGAUCACCAGGAGGAUCUGGACCUCAGUAUUACCACAUCUAGAGCUAUAAUCACAUCCCUGUUAAGCCUUCCUGAGAUCACACCAAAUGUCCUUGAUGGGAAUUGUAAACAACCCUUACUUCUGGUUUCUAAUGAUAUUCCAGGAAAGGAGCCUAACUAGAGUCAGUGAUAUGCCAACUCCACCUUUGCCUUCCACCAUGUUUGGAAGCUCCCUGAGGCCUCACCAGGAGCAGAUGCUCGUCCCAUGCUUCCUAUAAGCCUGCAGAACUGUGAGCCAUAAUAAACUGUGAAUUAUAAAUUGCCUUUAUAGCAAUGCAAAUGGACCAGUACAGAUGGGAUGCUGGGAAGACAGUUGUUUCCACCUUCAGUAAAGUCCGUGGAACACAGUUGUGACUAUAUUCUAGGCCAGCCAAGAUGCUUGUACUCAGAAAGGAGUGGUCUCAGGACCAUAAGAAAGUGAAAAAAUAAAAAUAAGAAAAUAAAGAAGGGAUUGUCAAUGAAUCAGAAUUCAUCAAGGUCAAAGUCUUAGGAAAUUCCUUCAUGAGGAAGUCUAGGGGGGCUAUGGAAAUGAAAUUUUUAAACAAAUAGGUAUGUGGUGCUGGCAGGAAUAAAUUAUGGACUUAUGAAUAUAACAUAAGAUUCUUUAUUACCUGGUCUCACCCGUCUUUCCACCUCUGCCCCCCUUCUUGCCCGACUCUGUGUAUCACCCAUAAUAAACUACUUACAGCUUCCUAGUGUUAAAUUUACCCUAAAGCUGCCUCCUUCAAUAUUUUAAGUUUAACCUAAAGGUUCUUCAUACAUAGUGAACUAUAACCCAAUGAUUAAACAGAUUGUAACCUACUCUUGUACCAGUCACCAAGUUUCAGCCAAUCAGAGGUGGCCAACUGUUCAAACCAUGCUCAAAUAAGGGAAAUGUCAUGGUGUAACUAAUCCAGCUGUUUCUAUACCUUACUUCUGUUUUCUUAGGUCACUUUCCUUUUUUGUCCAUAAAUUCUCUCCAACCACUCAGCAGCACUGGAGUCACUCCAAAGCUAUCCUGGUUCAGGGGUCUGUCUGAUUCACAAGUCAUUCUUUGUUCAAUUGAGCUCUGCUAAAUUUAAUUUGUCUGAAGUUUUUCUUUUAACAGAUGGUGUCAGAAAUGGACCCCAAAGUAGAGCUCCCAGUGAUCCCCCAGGAGCACUGAGUGACCACAAGGGGUACCUGCUGGGCCCGUCCUCUCGCAGUGUCCACUGCUCUCUUACAGCAACUGGAGAUUGUGGCUGCAUUCUCUCUCAGAUUCUGAAGCUCCAUACAUUGCCGUUUUCAGCUGUUCAAGCUUGCUUGAGCAAAUUUUUGAUCUUAGCUGAGUUUGGAAGUCGAUAGACAUUGGACUGGGUCCAGGAUUUGAUUGGAUCUGAUAAUUAACUGGCUUGGAUCCAGUUAGAUGCCUCGGUUAUCUGACUGGGUCAGAUAGAAACCGCCAGUAAAUAUUUUAAUAACAAUACUGCAGGGGUAUGAACUCUGGCUUUAAGAAACUCACAAGGAAUUUUAUGUUCUAUACCCUUUGUUUCUUUUUCUUGUGUGCUUCGGUCAGGAAAAAUCAUUAGUCAAGUUAAUCAAGGGGAUCUGAGAGCCAAAUACAAGAUUCAACGUAAAAAUGGAAUCCUUGGGCUAGGCGUGGUGGCUCAGGCCUGUAAUCCCAGGACUUUGGGAGGCUGAGGCAGGCGGAUCACCUGACCUUAGGAGUUCGAGACCAGUCUGGCCAACAUGGUGAAACCCCGUCUCCACUAAAAAUACAAAAAUUAGCCAGGCGUGGUGGUGGGCACCUGUAAUCCCAGCUACUUUGGAGGCUGAGGCAGGAUAAUCACUUGAACCCAGGAGGCAGAGGUUGCAGUGAUCUGAGAUUGCACCACUGCACUCCAGCCUGGGCAAAAGAGCGAGACUCCAUCUCAUAAAUAAAUACAUAAAUAAAUAAAGAAAUCCUUAAUUUCUGCGGAACUGAGUGCUCUACCUUCUGGCUACACCUACGUAUACCUGUAUGAGGUAUAGGCCCUGGAAGCAGCAAACACUUACAGAAAUGGUGAAAUCUUACUAAAGGGAAAAGAAAGCUGGAUAAAGUAUUUAUAGAAGAUAGAGGACCUGUGGUGGCUCAUGCCUGUAAUCCAAGGUGGAAGGAUUGCUUGAGGCCAGAAGUUCAAGACCAGUCCAAGCAACAUAGCAAGGCCCCAUCUCUACAAAAAAUGAAAAUAAAAUUAGCCGAGCGUGAUGGCUCAUGCCUGUAGUUCUAGCUUCUAGAGAGGCUGAGGCAGGAGGAUUGCUUGAGUCCAGGAGUUCAAGAUUACAGUGAGCUAUGGUCACACCACUGCACUCCAGCCUGGGUGAUGGAGUGAGACUGUCUCAAUAAAAAGACAAAAAGGCUGGCCAGGGGCAGUGGUUCAUGCCUGUAAACCCAGCACUUUGGGAGGCAAAGGCAGGAGGAUUGCUUAAGCCCAGGAAUUUGAGAUCAGCCUGGACAACAUGGUCAAGGAAGCUUUUCCUGAUCCACUAACUAAGGACAAUCAAACCCUUCAUGAUCUAGAAUCUGGAGACUGUGUCUUCUGGGAAUAGUAUCAGAGAAAGACUGCCCUUACUGCCCACAUGUAGCAAAACUUUGAGACGUUGAAUUAUGGGUCCAUAAUCUCACAACUCAGAGGGGCACCUCUAGACUCUUGGAACUGUAUAUCUAUUGGAGACUUUAAGGUAAAGCUGAACAGAGAGACGUUUUUCUCCAGAAGCAGACAGCACCAUAGUCAUGGACAGCUUUCCCAAGAUCACAGAUCAAGACUUCUCUGCCGUCAUGAGACUCAUAACCUCUUAAUUUUUUCUUGCUUAUGCUUCUGUGAACAAUAGAAUUGGAAAAGGGGUGGUCCCGCGUGCACCCAUAGGGUAUACUUUUAUUUGUGGAGGAUUUUGCUGCCAACCUUAUACAUGGGCAAACUUAUGCCUUCAUGGAUGGAAGAUAAAGGGCUAAUAUGGGUUAGAAAUUUUAAUGGUACCUUUGUUUCUCCAUAAUCAUUCAGAAACAGAACACUGGUCCACUCUUGUUAACCUACAUCAUAGGUUGAAGAGAACAUUGCCAGGAGGCCUUCAUCCUUCCAGAUGGGCACCAUUUGUUGGGUCUUUUUCCGUGGUAUGAAGAAAAUGAAGCAAUGAUUAGAAAUUGGUCCCUCGGCCGGGCACAAUGGCUCAUGCCUGUAAUCCCAUCACUUUGGCAGGCCGAGGCGGGUGGAUCACCUGAGGUCAGGAGUUUGAGACCAGCCUGACCAAUGUGGUGAAACGCCAUCUCUACUAAAAAUACAAAAAUUAGCUGGGUGUGAUGGUGCACACCUGUAAUCCAGCUACUCGGGAGGCUGAGACAGGAGAAUUGCUUGAACCUGGGAGGCAGAGGUUGCAGUGAGCCAAGAUCACCCCACUGCAUUCCAGGUUGGGCAACAGAGCAAGACUCUGUCUCAAAAAAAAAAGAAGAAAGAAAGAAAUUGAUCCCUCAUAAUAGGCUGUAUAGCAGAUUCUACUGCAAAGGCUAUGGUUGCACAACAGACUUCUUUGAAUUUGCUUGCUAAACUUUUACUGGAUAAUACUGGGAUUACAGGUGUGAGCCACUGUGCCCAGCCUCUCCUGUUUAACUGUAUUCAUUCUAAUGUUUACUUACUUCUUUAAUUUGUAAAAUUGGGUCACUUAGAGUUUUUUUAGCCUAUCUUGCCAUUUAGCCACUGUUACUGAUAAUUUGGAUGGAAAAGAAAAAUAAAUUAUAUCACCUCUCAUCUUCAGUGUAUAUAUGUGUUAACUUAGUAAAUAUAGUAUUCUUUCUCGUUCCUAAUGAAAAUUUAGUUUACGUACUGAAACACUGCAAACUUUUAUAAAUAUUGUGAUGUAUUUGACCAAUACAAAGGAUCUUUUUAGAAACAGCAAACAGUUCUCAGAUUAUAGGAAUUACUCAUUUAAUGAUAGUUUCUUCUU
rnacentral:lncRNA from 1 species